rnacentral:lncRNA from 1 species
AACUAAGAAAAAGCAAGCACAAUAAUGUCUCUUUAGAUUUAACUCAAGUUUACUACCUGGUGGUUUGGAAAUAAAUAAAAUGCAAUUGUUUCUAUAGUAUAAAUGUGAAAAUUUAACAUGGAGAUCGACACAUCAAAAACAUAUUUGGAAUACGAAAAUUAGGAGUCAACAAGGGUGAAAAGAAAAAGGGUGUAGGGAGACUUUUGAUCAAACACCUUUAAAAAGAUAGUGCCUUCACAUCUGAUAUGAAUUUGUUUCAAAGUUUAUGAUUUUGUCUUCACAAUCCUUGGGCCAAAAUUGUUUAAAUUCUAUUCAAAUUGUUGCAUAUAAUUACUUUGAUUUUCUCACAGAUAAUCCCCAACUUUUCUUUGUUCAUGAGAUAAUGAACUCUUUUAGGCAUUUCAUCGAGCACCUGUUACGCAUCAAUAAAACAUAGGUUAACAACCCCGUUUGUAAUUUACUUCCUUCCAACUGAAUCGUCUUAAAGGCAUACACAACUUCAAAUAUUAACAACUCUAACUUUAAAUCAACGUUUUUAUCAGAAAAUUAAGAUUAAUAUGAUUAUUUUGUAAAUGAAUUCAUUACAAUCGAAGCUGAUUUUACAUUAUUUGAAACAGAGGAUGAUUAUGCAUAAUAAAAUAUCUUUUUCAUGUUCAAAUCUAACCUGAUUUUGUACGAUUUAAAUAAAAUAUUGAAGAAUUCAGUAGAAACCAUGGCGAAUUCAAUGUCUUUUAGGUUUUCUUCGUGUUUGCUUGAUGAACGAAGGAGAUGACGACGAACAUCGAGUCUUGCCUUGUUAGUCCAAUAUGGUUUCUGGUUAACCAAGC